UACGUAGGGUGCGAGCGUUAAUCGGAAUUACUGGGCGUAAAGCGUGCGCAGGCGGUCUGUUAAGACAGAUGUGAAAUCCCCGGGCUUAACCUGGGAACUGCAUUUGUGACUGGCAGGCUAGAGUAUGGCAGAGGGGGGUAGAAUUCCACGUGUAGCAGUGAAAUGCGUAGAUAUGCGGAGGAACACCGAUGGCGAAGGCAAUCCCCUGGGUUAGCACUGACGCUCAUACACGAAAGCGUGGGGAGCAAACAGG
rnacentral:rRNA from 1 species